CAGCAGCCACGGUAAUACGGAGGGUGCAAGCGUUAAUCGGAAUUACUGGGCGUAAAGCGCACGCAGGCGGUCUGACAAGUCAGAUGUGAAAUCCCCGGGCUUAACCUGGGAACUGCAUUUGAAACUGUCAGGCUGGAGUCUUGUAGAGGGGGGUAGAAUUCCAGGUGUAGCGGUGAAAUGCGUAGAGAUCUGGAGGAAUACCGGUGGCGAAGGCGGCCCCCUGGACAAAGACUGACGCUCAGGUGCGGAAGCGUGGGGAGCAAACAGGAUUAGAUACCCGAGUAGUCCCUGUCUCUUAUAC
rnacentral:rRNA from 1 species